rnacentral:rRNA from 1 species
UCUGCGACAUGCAUGUCGAGCGGGGGGUAGGAGCUUCGUGCUCCKAACCUAGCGGCGAACGGUCGAGUAACACGCUAAGCAACCUGCCCCGAAGACCGGGAUAACAGCUCGAAAGGGCUGCUAAUACCGGAUGUGCCCACGCAGAGGCAUCUCUGUGUGAGUAAAACCCGCAAGGGGCUUCKGGAGGGGCUUGCGGCCCAUCAGCUAGUUGGUAGGGUAACGGCCUACCAAGGCGGCGACGGGUAGCUGGUCUGAGAGGACGGCCAGCCGGACUGGGACUGAGACACGGCCCAGACUCCUACGGGAGGCAGCAGUCGGGAGUCUUGCACAAUGGGGGAAACCCUGAUGCAGCGACGCCGCGUGCGGGAUGAAGUCCUUCGGGACGUAAACCGCUUUUGUCCGGGAAGAAGUUCUGACGGUACCGGACGAAUAAGCCCCGGCUAACUACGUGCCAGCAGCCGCGGUAAAACGUAGGGGGCGAGCGUUGCCCGGAUUUACUGGGCGUAAAGCGCGCGUAGGCGGCUGCGUAAGUGGGGAGUUAAAGCCCUCGGCUCAACCGAGGAAAUGCUCCUCAAACUGCUCGGCUUGAGUGUAGGAGAGGGGAGUGGAAUUCCC